ensembl:snRNA U2 U2 spliceosomal RNA
AUCGCUUCUUGGCCCCUUGGCUAAGAUGGAAUGUAGUAUCUGUUCUGGUCAGCUUAAUAUGAGCAUUUGCUGGUUCUAAGACAUUCUUUUAAUACACACUUUUUAAUGGCUGCAUAUUAUUUUAUGGCUAUGAAUAAUUUACUCAACUAACCCUAUUAUUUCUCUCCAUUUGGGCUGUUUCCCACUU